UACGAAGGGGGCUAGCGUUGUUCGGAAUUACUGGGCGUAAAGGGCGCGUAGGCGGUGUGUCAAGUCAGGCGUGAAAGCCCCGGGCUCAACCUGGGAACCGCGCUUGAGACUGGCACGCUCGAGUUCGGGAGAGGAUGGUGGAAUUCCCAGUGUAGAGGUGAAAUUCGUAGAUAUCGGGAAGAACACCGAUGGCGAAGGCAGCCAUCUGGACCGACACUGACGCUGAGGCGCGAAAGCGUGGGGAGCAAACAGG
rnacentral:rRNA from 1 species